ACCACUUGGUGAUAGUAGUGAUUUUCCAUCUUAUUUCAGCAGCUAAAUACUUAAAGGAAAAUCUAGGCAGCCGUCUACCACCAAGAUUUGAAGUCGCAAUCUUGAAGCUGAGCUUUGCAGCAUCUCCCCUUUUGCUGUUGACACAGGCAUUCCCUGAAGGGGCUGAAGCUGGACCGGGCAGGAUGCCUGCAUAGCCAAGUAGGGAAACUGAGCCCAGGCAGCUCAAGUCAAGUUGCCACAGAAUUUCAACUUUGUGUGACUCCGGGAUCUAUGGCUUAAUGACUGAUUUAAUUGUUACUAAAUUUUUUAAUUAAAAACACGUUUUAUAUGGUAA